rnacentral:rRNA from 1 species
GGCGGGUCCGUCCUGAAAAGGACCGCCGGAGGGUGGAUUUACCCUCUGGCCCGCGCCUGCCGGUGGCCAACAAUCAAACUCUUGUUAAAAACGUGUCGUCUGAAGUAUUAAACAAAAUAACUAAAAACUUUCAACAACGGAUCUCUUGGUUCUGGCAUCGAUGAAGAACGCAGCGAAAUGCGAUAAGUAAUGCGAAUUGCAGAAUCCGUGAGUCAUCGAAUCUUUGAACGCAUAUUGCGCCCUUUGGCAUUCCGAAGGGCAUGCCUGUUCGAGCGUCAUUAUCACCCCUCAAGCCCCGGCUUGGUGUUGGGCCCCCGGUGGUCGUACCCGACCACCCGCCUCAAAGAUAGUGACGGCGUCCCAGAGGGAACCGGUACGAGGAGCUUUCACGAGCAUGUACGCGGGACGACUCUGUGGGCGACGGUCUUUUUUAACCUUAAUAUAUCAAGUGUUGACCUCGGAUCAGGUAGGAAUACCCGCUGAACUUAAGCAUAUCAAUAA